GAGUUUGAUCCUGGCUCAGGAUGAACGCUGGCGGUCUGCUUAACACAUGCAAGUCGAACGGAGUUCUUCGGAACUUAGUGGCGGACGGGUGAGUAACACGUGAGAAUCUGCCUUCAGGACGGGGAUAACGACUGGAAACGGUCGCUAAUACCGGAUGUGCCUUUCGGGGUGAAAGAUUUAUCGCCUGAAGAUGAGCUCGCGACUGAUUAGCUAGUUGGUAGUGUAAGGGACUACCAAGGCAACGAUCAGUAGCUGGUCUGAGAGGAUGACCAGCCACACUGGGACUGAGACACGGCCCAGACUCCUACGGGAGGCAGCAGUGGGGAAUUUUCCGCAAUGGGGGCAACCCUGACGGAGCAAGACCGCGUGCGGGACGAAGGUCUGUGGAUUGUAAACCGCUUUUGAUAGGGAAGAAGCAAGUGACGGUACCUAUCGAAUCAGCCUCGGCUAACUCCGUGCCAGCAGCCGCGGUAAUACGGAGGAGGCAAGCGUUAUCCGGAAUGAUUGGGCGUAAAGCGUCCGCAGGUGGCUUAUCAAGUCUGCUGUUAAAGCGUGGGGCUCAACUCCAUAACGGCGGUGGAAACUGGUAGGCUAGAGUGCGGUAGGGGCAGAGGGAAUUCCUGGUGUAGCGGUGAAAUGCGUAGAUAUCAGGAAGAACACCGGUGGCGAAAGCGCUCUGCUGGGCCUGCACUGGCACUGAGGGACGAAAGCUAGGGGAGCGAAAGGGAUUAGAUACC
rnacentral:rRNA from 1 species